rnacentral:rRNA from 1 species
GCAGCAGCCGCGGUAAUACGUAGGUGGCGAGCGUUGUCCGGAAUUAUUGGGCGUAAAGGGAGCGCAGGCGGACAUAUAAGUCCAUCUUAAAAGUUCGAGGCUUAACCCCGUGAUGGGAUGGAAACUGCUGAUCUAGAGUAUCGGAGAGGAAAGUGGAAUUCCUAGUGUAGCGGUGAAAUGCGUAGAUAUUGGGAGGAACACCAGUGGCGAAGGCGGCUUUCUGGACUGCAACUGACGCUGAGGCUCGAAAGCUAGGGGAGCAAAUGGGAUUAGAUACCCGAGUAGUCCUGUCUCUUAUACAC